rnacentral:rRNA from 1 species
AGUGAACGCUGGCGGUAGGCCUAACACAUGCAAGUCGAACGGCAGCACAGGAGAGCUUGCUCUCUGGGUGGCGAGUGGCGGCCGGGCGAGGAAUACAUCGGAAUCUACUUUUUCGUGGGGGAUAACGUAGGGAAACUUACGCUAAUACCGCAUACGACCUACGGGUGAAAGCAGGGGACCUUCGGGCCUUGCGCGAUUGAAUGAGCCGGUGUCGGAUUAGCUAGUUGGCGGGGUAAAGGCCCACCAAGGCGACGAUCCGUAGCUGGUCUGAGAGGAUGAUCAGCCACACUGGAACUGAGACACGGUCCAGACUCCUACGGGAGGCAGCAGUGGGGAAUAUUGGACAAUGGGCGCAAGCCUGAUCCAGCCAUACCGCGUGGGUGAAGAAGGCCUUCGGGUUGUAAAGCCCUUUUGUUGGGAAAGAAAUCCAGCUGGCUAAUACCCGGUUGGGAUGACGGUACCCAAAGAAUAAGCACCGGCUAACUACGUGCCAGCAGCCGCCGUAA